rnacentral:rRNA from 1 species
UCCGUAGGCGGUGCGGCAAGUCGGAAGUGAAAUCUCUGGGCUUAACCCAGAGGCUGCUUCCGAAACUGCCGUGCUAGAGUGCGAGAGAGGCGAGUGGAAUUGCGGGUGUAGCGGUGAAAUGCGUAGAUAUCCGCAGGAACAUCCGAGGCGAAGGCGGCUCGCUGGAUCGCAACUGACGCUGAGGGACGAAAGCUAGGGGAGCAAACAGGAUUAGAUACCCUGGUAGUCCUAGCCCUAAACCAUCAGGACUUGGGGUUUGCCCUGUACGGGGCAAGUCCCGUAGCUAACGCGUUAAGUCCUGCGCCUGGGGAGUACGGCCGCAAGGCUGAA